rnacentral:lncRNA from 1 species
AGUUAGUAUAUUUUAUAAGUAUUUUAAGGAUACUGUGAAACAGUAUUAUUUAUGUGUAGGUCAAAGCACAGAUUAAUGACGUGAGCUACCUGAAUGACUUAGUCAUCUGAAAGUGCUUCCGAGGAUGGUGAUGUCUGUACUCUAAGAAUUCCACGUUGCAAGUAGAACCACUUGGCUUGAGGUAUAAAGAUUGUGUUAGCUUGUUGAAAAUUUGGGAUGCAAUUCUUUUGUGUGAAAGAUAAAUGGAACUUUAAAAAAGCCACUGUGAACUACUUAGAGGAGAAAUUAAAAAACUGGAAAAUAAGUUUGACCUUAAAGCAAGAAGAAGAGAAUAGAAGAAAUGCUGAUAUGUUAUAUGAAAAAAUUAGGGAGCAAUUAAGAAGAAAGGAAGACCAAUAUAGUAAAGAAGUUGAAAUGAACAGCAACUAGAACUCACUCUCAGAGCUCUAGAUGGAACUGAAGACUGAGAAAUAAUCUGAAUCAGGUAGAGUAAUUGUUGGUGAAAAUUUCUAGCACCAUUUUGUCAAUAUUAUUUAUAAUAUCCCUUUUAUUUCAUAUGUAUUAUUUAGAUUUCAAACAAAAUGUUAUCUCAACCUAGGAAUGAACUGUGACAUUCAGAGUUUAUGUGAUGAGUUUCUUGCCAUUCUUGGCUUCUAGUAGAUGCUGUGUAUGUGUUUUCUGCGUGGAGG